rnacentral:rRNA from 1 species
GAUGAACGCUAGCGGCAGGCUUAACACAUGCAAGUCGAGGGGUAUAGUUCUUCGGAACUAGAGACCGGCGCACGGGUGCGUAACGCGUAUGCAAUCUACCUUUUGCAGAGGGAUAGCCCAGAGAAAUUUGGAUUAAUACCUCAUAGUAUGUGAGAAUGGCAUCAUUUUCACAUUAAAGUCACAACGGCAAAAGAUGAGCAUGCGUCCCAUUAGCUAGUUGGUAAGGUAACGGCUUACCAAGGCAACGAUGGGUAGGGGUCCUGAGAGGGAGAUCCCCCACACUGGUACUGAGACACGGACCAGACUCCUACGGGAGGCAGCAGUGAGGAAUAUUGGACAAUGGGCGCAAGCCUGAUCCAGCCAUGCCGCGUGCAGGAUGACGGUCCUAUGGAUUGUAAACUGCUUUUGUACAGGAAGAACACUGGUUCGUGAACCAGCUUGACGGUACUGUAAGAUAAGGAUCGGCUAACUCCGUGCC